rnacentral:rRNA from 1 species
GACGUAGGGCGCGAGCGUUGUCCGGAUUUAUUGGGCGUAAAGAGCUCGUAGGCGGCUUGUCGCGUCGACUGUGAAAUCCCGCGGCUCAACUGCGGGUCUGCAGCCGAUACGGGCAGGCUAGAGUUCGGUAGGGGAGACUGGAAUUCCUGGUGUAGCGGUGAAAUGCGCAGAUAUCAGGAGGAACACCGGUGGCGAAGGCGGUUCUCUGGGCCUUACCUGACGCUGGAGGAGCGAAAGCGUGGGGAGCGAACAGG